GCGAUCGUAGCUCAGUUGGUUAGAGCGUCUGGCUGUGGCCCAGAAGGUCAUGGGUUCAAGACCCAUCGGUCGCC
rnacentral:tRNA from 1 species